AGGACGAACGCUGGCGGCGUGCUUAACACAUGCAAGUCGAGCGACGCUCCUCCUUCGGGAGGAUGACGGAGCGGCGAACGGGUGAGUAACACGUGGGCAACCUGCCCCUAGCUCUGGGAUAACCCCGGGAAAUCGGGACUAAUACCGGAUAUGAAGUCGGACGGCAUCGUCUGACUUGGAAAGUUUUUCGGCUAGGGAUGGGCCCGCGGCCUAUCAGCUUGUUGGUGGGGUAAUGGCCUACCAAGGCGACGACGGGUAGCCGGCCUGAGAGGGCGACCGGCCACACUGGGACUGAGACACGGCCCAGACUCCUACGGGAGGCAGCAGUGGGGAAUAUUGCACAAUGGGCGAAAGCCUGAUGCAGCGACGCCGCGUGAGGGAUGACUGCCUUCGGGUUGUAAACCUCUUUCAGCAGGGACGAAGCGAAAGUGACGGUACCUGCAGAAGAGCACCGGCAACUACGCGCCAGCAGCCGCGGUAA
rnacentral:rRNA from 1 species